rnacentral:rRNA from 1 species
GAUGAACGCUGGCGGCGUGCCUAACACAUGCAAGUCGAGCGAUUCUCUUCGGAGAAGAGCGGCGGACGGGUGAGUAACGCGCGGGUAACAUGCCAUGUACACACGGAUAACAUAACGAAAGGUAUGCUAAUACGAGAUAAUAUGCUUUUAUCGCAUGAUAGAAGUAUCAAAGAUUUUGCGGUACAGGACGGACCCGCGUCUGAUUAGCUAGUUGGUAAGGUAACGGAGUACCAAGGCGACGAUCAGUAGCCGACCUGAGAGGGUGAACGGCCACAUUGGAACUGAGAAGCGGACCAAACUCCUACGGGAGGCAGCAGUGGGGAAUAUUGCACAAUGGGCGAAAGCCGGAUGCAGCAACGCCGCGUGAGCGAUGAAGGCCUUCGGGUCGUAAAGCUCUGUCCUAAAGGAAGAUAAUGACGGCACUUGAGGAGGAAGCCCCGGCUAACUACGUGCCAGCCGCCGCUGUAA